rnacentral:rRNA from 1 species
GACGAACGCUGGCGGCGCGCCUAACACAUGCAAGUCGAACGAGCGAGAGAGAGCUUGCUUUCUCGAGCGAGUGGCGAACGGGUGAGUAACGCGUGAGGAACCUGCCUCAAAGAGGGGGACAACAGUUGGAAACGACUGCUAAUACCGCAUAAGCCCACGGUGCCGCAUGGUACAGAGGGAAAAGGAGCAAUCCGCUUUGAGAUGGCCUCGCGUCCGAUUAGCUAGUUGGUGAGGUAAUGGCCCACCAAGGCGACGAUCGGUAGCCGGACUGAGAGGUUGAACGGCCACAUUGGGACUGAGACACGGCCCAGACUCCUACGGGAGGCAGCAGUGGGGAAUAUUGCACAAUGGGGGAAACCCUGAUGCAGCGACGCCGCGUGGAGGAAGAAGGUCUUCGGAUUGUAAACUCCUGUUGUUGGGGAAGAUAAUGA